GCCUAAAGCGUCCGUAGCCGGCUCUGUAAGUUUUCGGUUAAAUCCAUAUGCUCAACAUAUGGGCCGCCGGAAAUACUGCAAAGCUAGGGAGUGGGAGAGGUAGACGGUACUCCGUAGGAAGGGGUAAAAUCCUUUGAUCUAUGGAUGACCACCAGUGGCGAAGGCGGUCUACCAGAACACGUUCGACGGUGAGGGAUGAAAGCUGGGGGAGCAAACCGGAUUAGAUACCCGGGUAGUCCCAGCCGUAAACGAUGCAGACUCGGUGAUGCCCUGGCUUGUGGCCAGUGCAGUGCCGCAGGGAAGCCGUUAAGUUUGCCGCCUGGGAAGUACGUACGCAAGUAUGAAACUUAAAGGAAUUGGCGGGGGAGCACCACAAGGGGUGAAGCCUGCGGUUCAAUUGGAGUCAACGCCAGAAAUCUUACCCGAAGAGACAGCAGAAUGAAGGUCAAGCUGGAGACUUUACCAGACAAGCUGAGAAGUGGUGCAUGGCCGUCGCCAGCUCGUGCCGUGAGAUGUCCUGUUAAGUCAGGUAACGAGCGAGAUCCCUGCCUCUAGUUGCCACCAUUACUCUCAGGAGUAGUGGGGCGAAUUAGCGGGACCGCCGCAGUUAAUGCGGAGGAAGGAAGGGGCCACGGCAGGUCAGUAUGCCCCGAA
rnacentral:rRNA from 1 species